rnacentral:rRNA from 1 species
GAUAUGGCUCAGGAUGAACGCUAGCUACAGGCUUAACACAUGCAAGUCGAGGGGCAGCAUGGUCUUAGCUUGCUAAGGCCGAUGGCGACCGGCGCACGGGUGAGUAACACGUAUCCAACCUGCCGUCUACUCUUGGACAGCCUUCUGAAAGGAAGAUUAAUACAAGAUGGCAUCAUGAGUUCACAUGUUCACAUGAUUAAAGGUAUUCCGGUAGACGAUGGGGA